rnacentral:tRNA from 1 species
GGAAAUAGCUCAGUGAUAGAGCAUGUGCUUAGCAUGUACCGGGUCCUGGGUUCAAUCCCCAGUAUUUCCA